GCCUGGGUAGCUCAGACGGUAGAGCAUCAGACUCUUAAUCUGAGGGUCCAGAGUUCAAGUCCCUGUUCAGGUGGUUCCA
rnacentral:tRNA from 1 species